AUCGUUCAACUAUCAGCCUUCGCCCUUCAGCCCUGCGACUCAGCCGUCUCUCUGUCUCUCCACCGGCGGCCGGCCUAUUCUUCUCCGUCUGGCGUCUGCUACUCUGCUCCGUUUCCCUUUUGGUUUUCCUAACCCGCAAAGGCCCAAACCAAACAUCAGAGGUUAGGGUUUCUGUCACUUUUCCCUCAAUCUCUGUAUUCUUCCCAACUCUUCCUAAUUUCCUUUUAUUUACGAAAUACGACAUCUUGCCGUUGAAGAAUAGAACGAUUUUAGCUUUUGAUUUCGACUUGCGCCUCAUUGUUGUUUCAAUUUAAUGGCUCAACAUCGGCUUCUCAAAACCGCACCGGAUGCAAGUAAGGAUUUAAUAAGUGAGCUGCCGGUAGGGGUAAAGGAUAGAAUUUUGGAGUGUUUGCCCACCCGAGACGCCGCCAGAACUGCUCUGCUCUCAAGGCACUGGAAUGAUCUUUGGUUGCAGCAUGGGCGGCUUUCGUUCGAUUGGGAAUUCUUGCUAACUGUCCAACAGUGCCAAGAUGAUUAUUAUGGUAGAACCCUCGUGAAAAUAAUCAAUAAUAUCCUCUUUCCCCGGGCUUGGCCGGUUAAGAAAUUUACUCUACGGAUUUCAUAUGAUGAUCCUCAGCCGCCGCAGUCUGCUAUUGAUAGGUGGUGUCUUUUUCUGUCAAGAAAUGGUGUGGAGGAACUUAACAUACGUUUAGAUAGUGAUGAGGUGGAGGAAAAUAGUUAUCAGCUGCCAUUUUGUUUACUCUCUUGCAGGACAAUUAAGGAACUGAUAGUCCGAGGUCCCUCUAUUGAUUUGCCUGUAAAUGGUUGUGGUAUAUUUUCCAAUGUCACUUCAUUAGCUUUCUACAAUGUUGAAUUUAAGUGCAGUGUUAGUGGAAUUGCCUCUAGUUUUAGUUUUCCUAAACUUGAGAAGCUGGCUUUCGGAUAUUGUGAAGGGAUCAAUAAGUUUGAGACCGGCCAGCCAAAGCUUGAAAUGUUGUCUGUUAUUGGUUAUAUGUAUGUAGUUGAUUCGAGAUGGUUGGCACCGCAUUUGAAAUCCAUUAAGACUCUUUGGUUGUGUGACUCUUCGUUGCGGUCUAUGGAUGUAUCUGUGUUUCCAACUGCAAUAAAUUUGCAAGUGAUGAAGCUAUAUCAAUUAAAUUUUGGUAUUCGGAAGCACCUCGUCAUUGUUAUGCAAUUGCUUCAAAAAUGCCCCAACCUAUGUGAACUUCGGAUUAUUGCGAAUGAGUUGGGUUGGAAGGAUGACGAAGAAGCUGCUUCAAGGUUUUUGGAGGAUCCAAAUGGUAGCUUUGUUAUUCACGAGUUGAAGAUGCUUAACACAAUCAAGAUUGAAUCAUUCAGUGAAUCCGCAUUUGAAAUGCUCUUUAUGAAAGUGUUGCUCUCAAAAUCCCCAGCGCUAGAGAGAGUUGUUAUUGUGAAGUCUUGGGGUACAAAUGCCCAGGCGAGAAAAAUCCAAAGGAAGUUGGAAUGCUUCCCUCGUGCAUCUCCAAACGCACAAAUUGUCUGCACGGGCAAUUACUAUGCGUCUAUGCGUGAUGAUUGGAUGGAUACCCAUGGUUUUGUCCUUUCAAGAACUUAGUAUGGUGAAUCUCCCUGGGUUCUAUUUGAUUGCAGCUUAGAAAUGUAAGUAAAGAUUAUGUUAGAAGUUGAAAUGAUUUCUAAGUUGUUGAGCAUGGGGUAUUUGUGGGCAAUUAAGAAUCUCUAGCUACAUUUAACACAUGUUCAUGCUUUCUUUCUGCAAUUGCAUUCUGCUGUGUUGUGGGGUGUUGACACA